rnacentral:rRNA from 1 species
UGGGGAAUAUUCCGCAAUGGACGAAAGUCUGACGGAGCAACGCCGCGUGAGUGAUGAAGGUUUUCGGACUGUAAAGCUCUGUUGUUUAGGACGAAAGUGCCUGUUGCGAACAGUUACAGGUAUUGACGGUACUAAACGAGGAAGCCACGGCUAACUACGUGCCAGCAGCCGCGGUAAUACGUGGGUGGCAAGCGUUGUCCGGAAUUAUUGGGCGUAAAGCGCGCGCAGGCGGUCAGUUAAGUUUGGUGUUUAAGCCCGGGGCUCAACCCCGGUACGCAUCGAAAACUGGGUGACUGGAGUGUAGGAGAGGAAAGUGGAAUUCCACGUGUAGCGGUGAAAUGCGUAGAGAUGUGGAGGAACACCAGUGGCGAAGGCGACUUUCUGGCCUAUAACUGACGCUGAGGCGCGAAAGCGUGGGGAGCAAACA